rnacentral:rRNA from 1 species
UUCGGGCGCCGGCGAGUGGCGAACGGGUGAGUAACACGUGGAGACCUAUCCAUUGGUGGGGGACAACAGCUGGAAACGGCUGCUAAUACCGCAUAAUCCCUACGGGGGAAAGAUUUAUCGCCAUAGGAGGGUUCCGCGUCGGAUUAGCUAGUUGGUGGGGUAACGGCCUACCAAGACAACGAUCCGUAGCUGGUCUUAGAGGAUGAUCAGCCACACUGGGACUGAGACACGGCCCAGACUCCUACGGGAGGCAGCAGUGGGGAAUAUUGCGCAAUGGAGGAAACUCUGACGCAGCGAUGCCGCGUGGGUGAAGAAGGCCUUAGGGUUGUAAAGCCCUUUCAGUGGGAACGAUGGUGACGGUACCCACAGAAGAAGCCCCGGCUAACUCCGUGCCAGCAGCCGCGGUAAUACGGAGGGGGCGAGCGUUGUUCGGAAUUAUUGGGCGUAAAGCGCGCGUAGGCGGUUUAUUAAG